UUUUGAAGGUCUUGAUGAUAUUACUGUUGCUGGCAACUAUCAAUAUGUUGAAGAUUCUUCUGGUACUGUAUGUGAUCUUAUGAGAAAUUACAUCUGUCAAGUCCAUUCACAUCCUCAAGAGUUUGAUGACUUUGAUUUUGACAAACUGUUUCCCAAUAAGGAACGCGACAGUUCAGAAGGUGCAGAUGGGUCCUGAAUGAUGUGUAUAUCAAAAAGAUGAAGGCUCUUCUGCUCUAUACGUGCAGUUAUGAAGCAUAUGUUUCAGUUAUAGCCUGUUAUAUAAGAAGUUCCUACCUACUAUAGUGGUUCUAGACCUGCAUAUCUUUUAAUAAACAACAUGAAUGAAUCCAACUAAGA